rnacentral:tRNA from 1 species
GUCCUGGUAGCUCAGCGGAUAGAGCGCUUGCCUGCGGAGCAAGAGGCCGCAGGUUCAAGUCCUGCCCAGGACG